UCUCACAAGACUGCAGUCAAGGUGUCAGCUGGAACUACAGUCAUCUCACACGUGAAGAAGAGAAGAUGUGUGAUGAUGACUCAACACUGAGUUUUGCUCUUUCUGUUCAGAGUUAAAGACCCCAACCCAGAGUCCAAGGGAUGGACCCUGGAAGCCAGGACCUGAGGAGAGUGUUGUGAAGAGGCUACAGCCCAAAGGUGCUCCUCAAAGAAAAGGUGUAAUCCACCCAGUCCACCACCCCUGAAGAGCCAGAGGUCACAAGAUGAGCAUGGAGGAGCAGCAGAAGAGCAAGGCUAGGAGUUGGUGGAAGGCAGACGACACCCCUGGGAACAUCUGAGCCACAGCCAGGCCCCAGCUGGAGAAGGGGAGAUGUUUGCAUUGGUAACAGAGACUGAUGUUUUGAUUCCAUAUUAGUCCAAACUUUUUAGUGAAAGCGAAGCCAUCUGUUAACACCAGAAAGUGACAAGAAAAAUUAAGGAUCUACCAGAGAUCUACCAGAGAAUUCAUCUGUGGGCAGGCAAGAAAACAGGAGAGUAAAUUUCAGGAGCCAGGGAACGAGCAGAAAUAAAGUUACUGCUUAUACCCUACUAACUCUAACUCAUUCACCAAACUGCUUACAAAUAUAUGCUAGCCACCUUAUAAAUAUGCUUAUAAGUAAAGAUAUG
ensembl:lncRNA